GUUACCACCUGGUGUGCGGGAGGGGUAGUACGGAUGGGGCAAGCGUUGUCCGGGUUUAUUGGGGGUAAAGCGCGUGUAGGCGGCCACGCAGGUCCGCGGUGAAAACUCGGGGCGCAACCUCGAGCUGUCGGUGGAAACCGCGUGGCUAGAGUCCGGAAGAGGAGACUGGAAUUCCCGGUGUAGCGGUGGAAUGCGCAGAUAUCGGGAGGAACACCCGUGGCGAAGGCGGGUCUCUGGGACGGUACUGACGCUGAGACGCGAAAGCGUGGGGAGCGAACAGGAUUAGAUACCCCUGUAGUC
rnacentral:rRNA from 1 species